GUCGUCUGAUACUGAUCGUUAAGAGGAGCUAUUCAGCGGAGAAAAAUAAAAAGAGAUUUGUUCGAUUUCCCAUUUGCCGCCGCCCGCCAUCACGUCGUUUCAUGCAUCAAAAAUUUUAGUGCUCUUCUUACACCACGUUGCCACCACCACGCUGCCGCCACAUAUUGUCUGCCUCCGCUGUCGUUGUCGUCAUUUGCCACACCACGUUCCAUCCAGCCACCACGUUGUUCCCGCCAGCCGCCACCAAUCUUGCUAAAAUAAUUUCUGUGCCAUCACGUUGCCACCACCACGCUGCCGCCACAUAUUGUCUGCCUCCGCUGUCGUUGUCGUCAUUUGCCACACCACGUUGUUCCCGCCAGCCACCACCAUCAUCACGCUAAAAUAAUUCCUGUGCCAUCACGUUGCCACCACCACGCUGCCGCCACAUCCGCCACAUUAUUGUCUGCCUCCGCUGUCGUCGUCAUUUGCCACAAAACGUUCUAUCCAGCCACCACGUUGCUCCCGCCAGCCGCCACCAAUCUUGCUAAAAUAAUUCCUGGUAUGUACCUACUUUUUAUGAUUUAUAUUAUAUAUAUAUCGAUACCUUACCAGAAGAAUGUAUUAAACCCUUUGCUCCCGGAAAAAAAUACAAAUAUCUUGAAAAAAAGUUUUGAUAUUUUCUAAUUAAACACUAAUAUGAAAAAAUAAUGAUUGUACUAGUAAUAACAUUGUAUAGAGAAGUCCAUUUUUUAUUAAAAAAAAACUAACAAAGUAAUUAAUACGUGGUUUCAUGCUGAAACCACUAGGAAGCAAAGGGUUAAACGACAUUCUCAAAAUUUGUAUAAACUUAAAACAAACUUGCUGUUCAUUUAAAAGAAAUAGAACUACAAUUACUGCCUAGAAUCAUUUUUAUUAAUAUUUUAAAAUUUGAUUGCAUUAUAAUCAUUAACACUCUACCGCAAA